rnacentral:lncRNA from 1 species
AAUCACACCAUUUACCAUUAGACCUCAUUGGUAUUCACAGGAACAUUUAUAAAGGCUCCCAACAUUAGAGUCUAAAAUUGCUCUCUGCCCACCUUGGAGUGCUCAUCUGGUGUUGCUGCGUCAGGACUGGCUGCUACAGCACAACUCCUGUCACUGCAGACACGGGAGCUCAUUUUAAACAGGUCAUUUUUAAUGCAUCAGAAUGCCAACCACACACAGCCACUGUUCUUUCAGCUGGGACGAAGCACUGGUUUUUUGUGAGGAGACUGCCUCACCUCCAGGGCAGGUCACAGACCCCGAAAGAAAACACUGCAGAUCUGCCAAACCUGCUCCAGCCAAUGAAACAUUUCUUUAACAGCACUGCUCAGUUAGGGAGCCAACCUAAAAGUGGCAGAAUGGUCAAGUGCCACCCUCCUAGUGUUCAAAGUGCAACAUGUCCACACAGUGCAUUUAAAUUUGCUGUGAAAGCCAUGGGGAGCUCAGGGACAGGAGCAGAGUUUACACCAGAAACUGUGUUUAGUGUAACAGGAGCCUGACAGGAGCUGUGGAAGAGGAUGGACCUAAAUCCAGUGGGUUACAGACAUGGUUUUGUCCUCAGGUGUCACGUUUUGCUAUGGCACAGAGGCAUCCUAAGCACUGAGCUCAUUGUUAGACAUAAAUGUGUAAUACUGGAAUAGAAAGAUACAUAAAAGUUUCACUGCACCACAUUUUAUCCACAGCUUUAAAAAAGUACCCAAAUUUACUUGAAGAAAGAGCUGGCAGCCCCAUCACAUUAUAUUUAAAAGCAUUGUCUUCCUUCAUUUAAGGGAGAAAAUAAAAACAAGAAAAAGAAAUGAAAACUUUCUUUA